CAAAAGCAGACGUUUCACCGACUGAGCCACUCAGGCACCCCUCACGGCGGCACUUUAAGGGGCCUUUGUCCUCGGAAUGAAGGUCAUCCUAUGGAGGCUACUCUGAGCUGUUAGAAACUAUGUCCAUGAGUUCAAGUCUUUCUAGGCCCCAGCCAAGGCCCAGUUAAGAAGAGGGCUGGGAAGAGCCUGAGCAGAAUCUGGUAAGGAGAGAAUCUCUAUCACAACCUUUUAAACAUCUGAAAGCUAUGGCACUUUGCAACAACAAAAAACGAGUCUGUUUACCGCAUAUUGCAUAGAAUUUCAGUUUUCCAUCCCCCACCCCUGAGCCUGUCUGCACACCCCAGGUUACCAGCCUUUGCCUUGAGGUGGGUUAGUACGUUUUAGGCAUUAUAUCUGUGAAUUGGUAAUUGCCAUUAUGGCCUGCCUUGGGUUAUUCACCUUAACAUGUGUGUAGCCACAGGGCACCUCUUUGAGAUCAACUACUAAUAGAAUUCUCUUAUUUGACUGAUGAGGAAAUGUCAAGCAAGAAAAGGCAAAGCCAAGGCUGGACUGAUUUAAUCAGCAAAGAUACAACAAGCCACUGUUAGAUUUAGACAUUUUAUUGCUAAAUAGUGAAAGGAAGAGUAAGGCAAAGGUGCCGGCUCCCCAGGAACCUUGUCCCGCACAUUCAAAAAGACGACACUGAAACUUUUCCCACCAGAUGAGUGCAGCGUGAGUUAUGGGGUAUCCCGUUGCUGAGGCGUUCCUUCUAGACUGCAGCCAAAGGGUUUUAUGUUCUGCAGCUCUUGUCUGAGUGGGGGUGGGCAGAAACCCCACACUUCAUCGGAACCUGGGAGGUGAUGAGAAAUUGUUUCAUGACAACCUCCCUAGUGAGAUAGGGAGAUGAGUGGGUGCGGGCCUUAUUGCAACUCCUCACAGAACGCUCUUCCAUGUCCCAGGAAGAUGACAAAGUGUUCUGCCAAAACUUAUAAGCUAUGGCUCAAGUCUCUGUGUGCAUAGAUAGGUACGGGGCUGCUCCACCGUUCAACCCCGACCCUUCACAUAUCCCAGAAUUUGCAGGGAUGUAAAUACCCCAUCAGAUAAAUAUUCCAGUUCUACUGACGGGAGCGCCUACCAAAUCUGUCUUUGGCAGUAUUGGAUGAGAGUCACCACAACCGUGACUCCCUGUAGGUUGAUUAGGCCUGUUUGGAGUAUAUACUGCAGCCAGGCGCCCCAUCCAAGGGCAACCGGAGUUGCAACCACGCACACCCCACUUCAGCCAGCCCCGCGGAAGUGCCGGGCAUUACGGUUGCCUAUUACCACCCGUGCUGAAGGGUUUGGAGCAGCCUGUGACAAAUGAACAAGAGGCCAACAGUAACAGGAUGAAGCUAAAGAGACCAGAUCAGUGUCCAGAAGGUUAAUCUUGUCCUGUUAUCUUUAUUGGAGGCUGACCAUUUCUGAAAUCACUGGCCCUUGGGAGGUUUCUAAGAGUUUUUAGAUUGAGAUUCUAUUUGGCCAGCAGUCAAGUUGAGGGCGGUGGUGGUCUGAGUUAACUUGGCCACAUGUCAGUUAGAUGCCACCUUGUCUGUAGAUAGGGGCUGAGAGAGAGAGAGAGAGAGAGAGAGAGAUUAAUAGUCCCUCCCUGCUACCUCCAACUUCCUGGGGAUGACCCCUUAUCUCCCACAAGCCAGAGGUAUUCCUCUCCCCACAGCCAUGUGUACAAUGUGACAACCUCCUAGCAGUCCCUUCACUUUUUUGUCCCAAUCCUCCUGUGUGUCCUAACCCUCACAUGAGCCCUGCUCUCUCCUGAGGUGCCUCAGUGAUUUCUUCCUUGUAUACCUCCUACCAUUCUAGAACAUCUCCCAUCCCCACAUCGGGGCCAUCUUGGGAGCUGAAACCUCAUAUUCGUGGCCAUUACCGUCCAUAUCUAUUACUGCCCAAGAGCGGCAAGCAGAAGUGAUGGCGAAAGAAGCACCAGGUUAGGAUAGCUUACUCCAUGACUCUUCUCGCUACUUGCAAAGUAGCUGUUAGUUUUCCAAGGGGGUAGGUGUGGGAAGAAAAAUGGGGGAAUGAGAAGAGUUAAUUAUGCGGCUCGGGUCUCUUACAGCCUAUCUCGGGCCUCUUCCUGGCUCUCCAAUCUCACAAUGAAGAAUUCUGUUGAAAUGGCAGAUACCCUCCUGGUGAAUUGUCACAUAGAUAUUCCAAACUGACUUUCUUAGGUGUGUCAUCCACUGGGAGCUGAGGCUGGGUUAUCCAGUUAUCUUUUUCAGUUUCUCCUUUAAGAGUCCACUCCACGUUUCAGUGGCACUGUCUUCCUGGGGAUGAUACGAGGCAUGGAAGGUUCAGUGAAUGUUCCACGCAGCUGCCACUGCUGGGUCCUUUUUACUUCAAGUGGGAACCAUUGUUUGAAUGGAUGCCCUUGGGAAACCAAAUGUAUAGCACUGUCCAUCGAAGGGUCUUUGAAUAGUGUGCCCCUCGUGCUGUGGAGAUGGAGACGGUAGUGUCAUACAUUGAAGAGGUGUCUGCUACAAUCGAUGUCCGAUGGUACCCUCAAGAGGAUGGUAGGGGACCUGUAUAGUCUGUUUGGUAGGACAGGCCAGGUCCAGUACCCCUCACUAUGAGCCCCCAAAUUUCUUUUACCACUGGAAUGUCUAGCUGGCGGUCUGGGCAUAUUUGCCACCUUCUUUGGCUUCACAUACUGCGGUCACUGUGCCUUGUUUGGGGGCUCCCGUGGAUGGAGUACCAUGCGCUGUGCAGCAGUCUGUCUGGAUGGCUACGGUCCUUACAUUUGUAUCACAGGUCUCCUCAGCUUGCUGAUUUCACCCAUGUUGAUCCAAGGAAACCUUUGCCACGGGCAUCCCUCCGGGUCAUGAACAGAGGGUAUGGGUCUUGUGUGAUCUGCUGCCAUGAUGAUCAUUGCCAAAGAGGCUGAGACUUGUUCAUCCAGGCCUUCCACUGCCAGGCAUCAGCCCACAUGCUCAUGAGUCAGUGAAAAUGUAACAGGGUGUAUUUGGGGAGGUCUUUUCCAGAGCAAGUAGCACAGCUCACAACAGCGAGCGUUCUCCUUUCCAUGCAUAGUUUUAGACAAUUUUCUUUGGGGGGUAUAUGGCAGCAUCUCCCCAGGACACCCCAUGGCCCCCAACUGAGCUGAUCUAUCCAUGAACCAGGCCCAGGCAUUGUCAGUAACUUCAUUGAAGGUAAGCCCCCAAGAAAUCUGAGGUGUUGGCAUAGACCCUGCAUCUGAGUCAACACAUCUAGAGGGCGACUAACCACUUAAUGGCUGGUGUGCUAUUUUCUGGAUGUACUGCAGCCACAUAAUCAGGGAUGCUUGUCAGGCAGUACCCACUUGAUGUUCUCGUUUCCCACGGGACAUCAGGUAGAACAGCACUUUGCCGUGUCCGUCUCAGUGUGCAUUAGCGCUCAAUAUGAAGCCAGUAAUUGUCUCUCAGUUGGGGUAUUCUGGGUGGUGAGGUCAGGCAAGUGCCAUGUCCAAAACCCUAAGGAACCAUUGCCCAGUGGCCACAUAAUUUUACCACUGGUCUCAGUCUGUGUAAUGUCAGUCACUGACACGUGUAGCUCACAUGUCUCAUGAGGGCUGACUGGCCGCAGUGGAAGAGCAGUUUGUACUGUUGGAUUGUCUAUCUAUCUACCGAUCUAUCGAUCUAUCCAUCUAUCUUAGUAAUCUCUACGCCCAAAGUUGCACCUCUUCCAACUGAACCAGCCAGACACCCCUGGAUUGUUUCCUUAAGCAUGUUUGUCUGUACUAGUUCUUUGAUCAAGACAGUGAUCUUCCUUUCCACCCCUUCCCUUUCCUUGGAAUCCCAUACUACUUUACUGAUACCGCGUGACUGAACCCAGAGAACAAGGUGGACUCCUGGUGGUCCACUCAACCCACUACUGCUGCUCUAAUCAUGGUGUUUCCCCACCGAAAACAUCCCUUACAGUUUAGAGAAAUAUUACAUGUAUUUAACACAUUUAUUCCCACAAUACAUUCAGUAUAUCUUUGACGAACUGAUGACCAGGGAGUAUUUUAUCUGUAGCCACAGCCACCUGUCUAAUGGAAACAGUUUUCCUUUCCUUAGUAAUACAGACGGGUAAGGAACAACCACGGAAUGUUUUUAAACAUUUUAUGGGGCCCUCUCCCUUUUUUCUC